GCGCCCGUAGCUCAACGGAUAGAGCAUCUGACUACGGAUCAGAAGGUUGGGGGUUCGAAUCCCUCCGGGCACA
rnacentral:tRNA from 1 species